UUGACAGCCCUGGAGAAUAAAGUCCUUUAUUUACCAACUAUACAGGUACAGCUUGGGCAGCAGUAGCAUAGCAAGUUUCCACCUGCCUGUACCCUGCGUGGUUCAAAGCUAACCCAAAGGGGCAUGUCUCUAAAUGGUUAGAUGGUAGUUUUAUUUUUAUGGCCCUUUUAGUCUUGAUUCCU
rnacentral:sRNA from 1 species